rnacentral:lncRNA from 1 species
CUAUUGUUUUCGUUUCCUUUUAUUGCAAAAGGUCUUCACUAGUUUAUGCAUUAUUUGCUUUCGACUUUCAAAUAUCUAUGUUUCUGCAUUCAUGGAGAGUUUAAAUUAAGACAAAUGUUUCAUAUUCAUCAAUUUUUGGAAAGUGUCAUAUCCAUUAUUAAAAUUAGACAUGAAAUCUUUUAGGUUGAUACGAGUAAAUAAAAUGAAAGGUGUGGUACUCUAUGUUACGAAAGUUAGAAACUUGACGAUACCAAACAUCCAAAAAGGUGCAACAGGUACAUUUUUCGAUCGACAUACGUACACUAACUGUUCGUAUAUUAUUAAAAAUACUUAUGUUCAGUUAUAUUUCCUUCAAAGGACAUCUCGGAAAAAUAAAGAUACAUUGCAAAAGAUGCAUUUUUGUAUUUUCUGUGAAAUUUAAAAAUAACUCAUAGAUCUAAGUUUAACAAACAAAGUGCUGCCUUACACCUUUAUAUGAUAUAUAUAUAUA